CAUACUCGGGACGGCUCGGCUCUACUUGGUGAUGGCGUAGAUGGCGUAGAUGAUGCCCGGGAUGUAGCCGAGGAAGGUGAGCAGGAGGCAGAUCCAGAACUCGUGCUGCAAGAAAGAAAGCAAGAAACAAUUAUCAGUAAUUCCAUCCAUACAUGUCCCCAUCCAUCAACCCAUGCAUCCAUCAACCUGUCGAUCGAGCAGAGCCAGAAAGGGGAAGACGGAAGAAGGGAGAAAGAGGAAAGAAUCCGAUGCUUUUGCUUACCCCGCAUCCGAACUUGAGGAAGACGCCGAGGGGCGGGAGGAUGAUGGCGAGGAUGAUGUCGAUGCAGUUGGCCGUGCCCGCCAUGGUCGAUCCUUCGGCGGACGGAGAGCUUUUUUCACUCGGUGGAUGGAGGGGAGGCAGCAGAGCUGAUCUGAGCAGAGCAGAGCAGAG
rnacentral:lncRNA from 1 species